UUCACCUAAAUGAUCAGAGAAUUCAUAUCAUUGUUGAAUCAGUUUCAACUUUCAAACCAGACAAAAAUUUCCAUCUCAGGAGUAGUCUAUAUCUGGCACAGCAGGGAUGUAAUACCUACUAGUUAAUUACAGCUCAUAUUAAAAUGGACAAGACCCAAAAGCUCUCCGAUUGUGAUAUUGAGAAGAUUCACCUACAUUCUACUUGUUGUUUUGAAGAGAAAACCCAGGCCGGUUUUGAAGGGAAAACUUUGAAGCCUUAUCUUCACCGACUGUUUCAUCCUCAAUCACUUUAGUGGCACUCUGAGAUUUUUCCGAGGGAGUAACGGCCUCAAAGCCUCCAGUUGAUCCAGUGGUCGGUUUCCCACCCAACCUUUUGUAAAGCAACAUGGCUUGAGAAAUCUGGGAGGAGAGACCAGUAGCAUCAUUGGGAAGUAAAAGUGUUGUGCUCUGGAAAAAAGGUAAAGGAGACACAGAUUAGAAGGAAGGCAAUUUUAAUUAUCAGUUGAGCAUAUAUAAGAACAGCAUACACAAAAAGUUCAAUGCUUCUUUUUUCACCUGUUUGGCGACAUUUCCAAAAGCCAUAACAUACUGCUCAGCGACUUU
rnacentral:lncRNA from 1 species